CAGAAUUAGCAAAGGUGUCAUUGUUUACUAUUCUAGUCCAAGUCCACUUUAAUAGUUUUAAAGUUCACAUAGCACGUCCUGUCACUAAGUCCCAAUCAUAUAAGACCCACCCGAAGGCUGUCUGGCCUGCGCCGUGCCUAAUGGCCCCGUGGUAGUCAACAUCCCCACUCUAGGGAUGAGCCUCCCCCACGGCAAUCCACUUCGACGCCCAAUCCCGCACGGGCGAGCAUAUGUCGCGAUGGCUAUCUCCGGAGUGCCGGCUUGUAGGGAGCGACCCUCACAAG
rnacentral:lncRNA from 1 species